GCAGCUCAUUCUUUGAGUAUUCUGAAGGCUAAAAUGAUCUUCCUCUGCGCAGUUUGUAACCGUAAGAUAUCAGAAAUAGUCUCGGUAUUCCUUUUAUAUUAGGUAGUGGCAACAGAAUUUUGUCUUUCAUUAUAAUUUGUCAAAGGUUAAAGUGUUCAGUGUAGAAGGGUAGCUAAAGAAGUUAACAGGUUCAUAGCAUUUAAUUAAUAACAUCAUCGCCGAAGGAACCUAGAAUAUCACAGUAACGAACUGAUACAGAAAGGCUGGCGUUGGCUCACAACCUAUUUACUUGAUUGCCCACUGUAUGUGUGGGCUACUUGUGAAAUCAUUAUUUCCAAAGGUAACUCUUAGCUUCAUUCCCACAUUUAUGUGUCCAGUAAUUCAAAUUUUCAAUGAGAAUAUUUUACUGCAGUAGUUACAAUAUUUAUAAUCACCAUAGUGAAUAUAUAAUAAUAGUAAGACCAUGCAGUUUGGUUUUUAUCUCAGUAUUAGGUGAACAUAUACUUUCAGUUUGAAAGUAAAAAAUGUAAUGGGCUAAGAGUAAACAGAUACAUUUCUUUGUAA